rnacentral:rRNA from 1 species
ACAGAGCGCUCGAGCGUUUAGGCGGAAUCACUGGGCUUAAAGCGUGUGUAGGCGGAUUGGUAAGUACCUUGUGAAAUCCCACAGCUUAACUGUGGAACUGCUCGGUAUACUGCUGAUCUUGAGCCACUCAGGGGCUACCGGAACAAAUGGUGGAGCGGUGAAAUGCAUAGAUAUCAUUUGGAACGCCAAUGGUGAAAACAGGUAGCUGGGGGUGUGCUGACGCUGAGACACGAAAGCCAGGGGAGCAAACGGG